UAGUUAGUGGCGUAAGGGUUAGUAAUGAAUAGGUAACGUACCCUGUGCUUCGGGAUAGCGUCGUUCGCCUUCGGGCGAACUACCGAAAGGGGCGGUAAUACCGGAUAAUAUCAUUUGUUGACGGACAAAUGAUCAAAGAUUUAUCGGCGUAGGAGCGGCCUAUUUCCUAUCAGCUUGUUGGUGAGGUAAUGGCUCACCAAGGCAUUGACGGGUAGCGGGACUGAGAGGUUGACCCGCAACAUCGGGACUGAGACACUGCCCGGACCUCCACGGAGGGCUGCAGUAACGAAUAUUGCGCAAUGGGCGUAAGCCUGACGCAGCGACGCCGCGUGCGGGAGGAAGUCCCUCGGGAUGUAAACCGCUGUCAGGGGUAAGAAAGUUCACUUCGGUGGAUUGAUCUAACCCGGAGGAAGUCACGGCUAACUUCGUGCCAGCAGCCGCGGUAAGACGAAGGUGGCUAGCGUUGUUCGGUGUUACUGGGCUUAAAGCGUGUGUAGGCGGAAGGGUAAGCGUCUUGUGAAAUGCCUCGGCUUAACCGAGGAAUCGCUGGGCGAACUGCUUUUCUUGAGGCAAGUAGGGGUGCAUGGAACUCUUGGUGGAGCGGUGGAAUGCGUAGAUAUCAAGAGGAACGCCAACGGAGAAAUCAGUGCACUGGGCUUGACCUGACGCUGAGACACGAAAGCGUGGGGAGCGAACGGGAUUAGAUACCCCGGUAGUCCACGCCGUAAACGAUG
rnacentral:rRNA from 1 species